rnacentral:rRNA from 1 species
UACGAGGGGGGCGAGCGUUGUUCGGAAUUAUUGGGCGUAAAGGGUGCGUAGGCGGCCUGACAAGUCUGAUGUGAAAUCCCUGGGCUCAACCCAGGGCCUGCAUCGGAAACUGUCGGGCUUGAGUAUGGGAGAGGUGAGUGGAAUUUCCGGUGUAGCGGUGAAAUGCGUAGAUAUCGGAAGGAACACCUGUGGCGAAAGCGGCUCACUGGACCAUUACUGACGCUGAGGCGCGAAAGCUAGGGGAGCAAACAGG